GGCUCUUUGAAACUUUUUAGAUAAAGAGUCGAACCUGCCCAGUGAAAUUUCAACGGCCGCGGUACUCUGACCGUGCAAAGGUAGCAUAAUCAUUUGCCUUAUAAUUGAAGGCUAGUAUGAAUGGUUUGACGAGGGCAUUACUGUUUCCUUUCUAAUCAUUAGAAUUUGACCUGCAGGUGAAGAGGCCUGCUGAAGACUGAAGGACGAGAAGACCCUGUCGAGCUUUAGAGAAAGAUAGAUUAAACUUAUAAUAAUAGAUAAAGAACUAUAUUUACUCAUUGGUUGGGGCGACCAGGGAACAUAAGAAGCUUCCCAAAAAUAAAUCACCUAUAAGUAAAGAUCCAGUAUUUCUGAUCAAAAGAAUUAGUUACCGCAGGGAUAACAGCAUAAUCUCCCUUGAGAGACCUAAUCGAAAGGGGGGGUUGUGACCUCGAUGUUGGACUAGGAUAUCCUAAAGGUGCAGAAGCCUUUAAUGGUUGGUCUGUUCGACCAUUAAAAUCCUACG
rnacentral:rRNA from 1 species